GAGCCCGUAGCUCAGCAUGGAUAGAGCACAGGCCUCCUAAGCCUGGGGCCGAGGGUUCAAAUCCCCCCGGGCUCGCCA
rnacentral:tRNA from 1 species